rnacentral:rRNA from 1 species
UCAAGCUAAUAAGAGCACAGGGUGGAUGCCCAGGCACCAAACGCCGAUGAAAGACGUGGCAAGCUGCGAAAAGUCACGGGGAACCGCAAGCAGGUAUUGAUCCGUGAACGUCUGAAUGGGGAAACCCGGCGGGUUAACAGCCCGUCACUAUUAACUGAAUCAAUAGGUUAAUAGGGGGAACGCGGGGAACUGAAACAUCUCAGUACCCGUAGGAAGAGAAAAUAAAGAAUGAUUUCCUAAGUAGCGGCGAGCGAACGGGAAAGAGGCCAAACCGAAGGGCUUGCUCUUCGGGGUUGUGGAUCAGCAAAAAGGACGGAAGACCUUAGCAGAAGAGGAUUGGAAAGUCCCGCCAGAGAGGGUAAAAGCCCCUUACGCGAAAAGGUCAAACGACGAGCUGACACCAGAGUACCGCAGGACACGAGAAAUCCGGUGGGAAGCCGGGAGGACCACCUCCCAAGCCUAAAUACGAAUUGGUGACCGAUAGCGCAUAGUACCGUGAGGGAAAGGUGAAAAGAACCCCGGGAGGGGAGUGAAAAAGAACCUGAAACCCUGUGUUUACAAGCAGUGAAAGUGCAAGUUAGGCACGAUCACGUACUUUUUGUAGAACGGACCGGCGAGUUACGUUAUGCAGCAAGGUUAAGAACUGAAGGUUCGGAGCCGAAGCGAAAGCGAGUCUGAAUAGGGCGAUAGUUGCAUGACGUAGACCCGAAACCGGGUGACCUAUCCAUGAGCAGGUUGAAGUGGAGGUAAAGCUCCAUGGAGGACCGAACCAGACGUCUGUUGAAAAAGGCGGGGAUGACUUGUGGAUAGGGGAGAAAUUCCAAUCGAACCCGGAGAUAGCUGGUUCUCCUCGAAAUAGCUUUAGGGCUAGCCUCAUGGAUCAUUGAUGGGGGUAGAGCACUGAAUGUGCGCGGGGGCCACAAAGCCUACCAAACGCUAUCAAACUUCGAAUACCAUACAAUGCAGACCAUGGGAGUCAGUCCGCGAGAGAUAAGUUCCGCGGGCAAAAGGGGAACACCCCAGAUCAACCGCUAAGGUCCCCAAGUUCACGUUAAGUGGAGAAGGAUGUGGAAUUGCACAGACAACCAGGAUGUUGGCUCAGAAGCAGCCACACAUUUAAAGAGUGCGUAAUAGCUCACUGGUCGAGUGAUUGUGCGCCGAAGAUGUCCGGGGCUAAACGUGACACCGAAGCGAUGGGUGCAUCUGAAAGGAUGCGCGGUAGAGGAGCAAUGUGCAGAGGCAGAAGCCGUAUCGAGAGGCACGGUGGACACUGCACAAGAGAGAAUGCCGGUAUGAGUAGCGAGAGGCAUGCGAGAAACAUGCCCGUCGAAAGCCCAAGGUUUCCUGGGGAAGGUUCAUCCGCCCAGGGUAAGUCGGGGCCUAAGCCGAGGACGGAAGUCGUAGGCGAUGGACAGCAGGUGUAGAUUCCUGCACUACCGAUGGAAUGAAGCAGUGACACAGAAGGAUAACUCGAGCAGGGUGAUGGUCAACCCUGUGCAAGCAUCAAGGUUGGGUUGUAGUGAAGUACGCAAUCCUACAAGCUGAGGUGUGAUGCGGACCGAAAUUUCAGUAGGGAAGCGAGUGAGUUCACGCUGGCGAGAAAAGCUGCUAGUACAUCCAAAGGUACCCGUACCGGAAACCGACGCAGGUGGGCGAGGAGAGAAUCCUGAGACGAACGGGAGAACCCUUGUUAAGGAACUCGGCAAAAUGACCCCGUAACUUCGGGAUAAGGGGUGCCUGCGAGAGCAGGCCGCAGAGAAUAGUCACAAGCGACUGUUUAGCAAAAACACAGGUAUCUGCGAAAGCGAGAGCUGACGUAUAGGUGCUGACACCUGCCCGGUGCUGGAAGGUUAAGGGAACAUGUUAGAGCAAUCGAAGCAUCGAACCGAAGCCCCAGUAAACGGCGGCCGUAACUAUAACGGUCCUAAGGUAGCGAAAUUCCUUGUCGGGUAAGUUCCG